ACUCCUACGGGAGGCAGCAGUGGGGAAUAUUGGACAAUGGGCGAAAGCCUGAUCCAGCCAUGCCGGCGUGUGUGAAGAAGGUCUUCGGAUUGUAAAGCACUUUAAGUUGGGAGGAAGGGCAUUAACNUAAUAUGUUAGUGUUUUGACGUUACCGACAGAAUAAGCACCGGCUAACUUC
rnacentral:rRNA from 1 species